rnacentral:rRNA from 1 species
AUCACUCCUACGGGGAGGCAGCAGUAGGGAAUCUUCCACAAUGGGCGCAAGCCUGAUGGAGCAACACCGCGUGAGUGAAGAAGGGUUUCGGCUCGUAAAGCUCUGUUGUUAAAGAAGAACACGUAUGAGAGUAACUGUUCAUACGUUGACGGUAUUUAACCAGAAAGUCACGGCUAACUACGUGCCAGCAGCCGCGGUAAUACGUAGGUGGCAAGCGUUAUCCGGAUUUAUUGGGCGUAAAGAGAGUGCAGGCGGUUUCUAAGUCUGAUGUGAAAGCCUUCGGCUUAACCGGAGAAGUGCAUCGGAAACUGGAUAACUUGAGUGAAGAAGAGGGUAGUGGAACUCCAUGUGUAGCGGUGGAAUGCGUAGAUAUAUGGAAGAACACCAGUGGCGAAGGCGGCUACCUGGUCUGCAACUGACGCUGAGACUCGAAAGCAUGGGUAGCGAACAGGAUUAGAUACCCUGGUAG